AUAUUUGAUGUAUUCACGGUUAUUUGUCUUACAAAUUACAACAAAAUAAGAAAAUCGUUUGGUGAGAAAUCAAUUUUUUACGUGGGAAUAUCCUAUUUUACUGUUGAGAAGCGUACCUAUACCUAUAAUUAAAAAUGGGAACUUGUAUAUUAUAAUAUUAUACUUUAAAGACUAGGCUUGGGUUCUCCUAUGAUAAAAAUAUGUAUUAUAAUUUGUUGGUAAAUUCAAUACGAUUUUGUAUGGUUUAAGGUGGAUAGUCCUUACGUUUAGAGAUAUAAGUUUCUCUUAUCUCAAAUUUUACGUUUCAACAGUAUUGGGUCACUGCAGGCCAUGUUAUUCCCCAUAACCACGCAUACAAAUAAUAAUCAUUAUGGUUUUGUUUUAAUUUUUACGAUAUUCUAAUGAGGAGAGUUUAUCAGUUGUUUUAAUUAGGUAAGGUAAAUAAAAAAAGGAAGUACCUAGGCAUAGGUUAGGCACCUAAUAUAAGUAAUUGUAAACGUUCGUUAACAUUUUUUCACGUUCGUGCAAUUAUAAAAUUAUAAUAUGAAAGAACAAUUAUUCAACUUUUAUUUCUAUUGUACAUUUUAAGUUUUGAGACAAUUAUUUUUACUAGUUUCAAACAUAAAAAAAACUAUUUUAUUAACUUGAAAAUGAUUGUAAAUUUAAUAGUGACUUUCGCCACGAUCACGUUGAUUGUCUAUUUUCAUGGUGUUUGUGGACUCGACAACGGAUUGGCCUUAACACCACCGAUGGGAUGGCUCGCGUGGGAGAGAUAUAGGUGUAUCCUCGACUGUGAAACGUAUCCCGAUGAAUGUAUUAGCGAAAAGCUGUUUAUGAGAGCUGCGGACUUGCUGGUCAGCGAAGGCUACGCAGACUUGGGUUAUGAAUACGUCAUCGUGGAUGACUGUUGGUUGGCCACGAACCGAUCGGCAGACGGUAUGUUAGAAGCUGACAAGAAAAGAUUCCCAAGCGGCAUCAAAGCUCUGUCAAACUACAUACACUCGAAAGGACUGAAGUUCGGUUUGUACCAAGACUUGGGCUCGAAAACUUGCGCUGGUUUUCCUGGCGUGUUGGGCCACGAGGCGAAGGAUGCCAAGCGAUUCGCCGAGUGGGAAGUCGAUUACGUAAAACUCGAUGGGUGCUUUUCGGACGUCAGGGACAUGGACAAAGGUUACGUUGAAUUCGGAAGACACUUGAACAACACUGGGAGGCCCAUGGUUUACUCGUGCAGCUGGCCGGCGUACCAAGAAUUCAAAGGCAUCCGGAUCGAUUACGCUUCGAUAGCUGAACACUGUAACCUGUGGCGCAACUACGGUGACAUUGACGACUCGUGGAGUUCCGUUAUGGACAUCGCCGAUUAUUUUGCCACAAAACAAGAACUCUGGGCUCAGUACGCAGGACCCGGACACUGGAACGAUCCGGAUACGCUCUUGAUCGGAAACUUCGGCCUGUCGUUCGAUCAAAGCAAAUCGCAAAUGGCCAUUUGGGCCGUGUUGGCCGCUCCUUUGCUCAUAUCCACCAAGUUGUCUGCCGUACGUCCGGAGUUCAAAGAAAUAUUGCAGAACAAAGAAAUCAUCAAGAUAAGUCAAGACCCUAUUGGCGUGCAAGGCACUAGAAUAUAUAGGGACCAGGAUAUUGACAUUUGGAGCAGACCAGUAGGACCUGUUUACAACGGAAUUUGUUCUUGUGCUGUAGCGUUUGUAAGCCGUCGCGCGGAUGGUGCUCCUCACUCUUACAAAAUUACAGUGGAACACUUGGGGAUGCUGAAUCCCAACGGUUACACAAUCAAGAAUUUGUACGGCGGGAAAUACGCAAACAAUAUCAGUAAUCAAUAUGUCACGCGAAAGUCUGUAGUUCGUGUACGAGUUAAUCCGUCAGUCAAAUGACUUGUGUUUUAAACUGUGUAUAAGACAACGUACAUUUUUAAUUUAAUAUCGCAAAGCAGGAUUUUAUUGAGAAUUUGAUUUAUAAAAUUUGAAUUUCAAACAAGAGCUGUGUUCCUGAAAUUCGAAGUGAACAAGGUGAAGGAGGGAUAUGUUACUGCACUCAACCACACGCUAUCUUAACUAUUCGCCUUCUAAUUAUUCGAGCUGAAUUUCGAUCGUG